ACGCUCGACACCUACGGGAGGCUGCAGUGGGGAAUAUUGCACAAUGGGGGAAACCCUGAUGCAGCGACGCCGCGUGAGCGAAGAAGUAUUUCGGUAUGUAAAGCUCUAUCAGCAGGGAAGAAACUGACGGUACCUGACUAAGAAGCACCGGCUAAAUACGUGCCAGCAGCCGACGGUAAUCUGAGCGGGCUGGCAAGGC
rnacentral:rRNA from 1 species